rnacentral:lncRNA from 1 species
GCUGAUAUGCUAUAGUAUGUGUUGUUUUCAGAGUUAAGAUGCGAGGAACUCGUCGAUCAGCUCGAUUGACUGGAGUCCCAUCAGAUAGUGAGGGAGUAGCUGCUCGUCCUCCUGCAUUGCCAAGGGCAAGGUCACAAAGAUCUAGCAGGGAAGGCAUGUCAAUAGACCCUAGAAGGUCUGUAGACGAGAGCAGAAGAGGG